rnacentral:rRNA from 1 species
UACGUAGGUGGCAAGCGGUUUCCGGAUUUACUGGGCGUAAAGAGCGCGCAGGCGGUCGAAUAAGGCGAAUGUGAAAGCCCCCGGCUCAACUGGGGAGGGUCACUCGAUACUGAUCGACUUGAAGGCAGGAGAGGGAAGCGGAAUUCCCGGUGUAGUGGUGAAAUGCGUAGAUAUCGGGAGGAACACCAGUGGCGAAGGCGGCUUCCUGGCCUGCUCUUGACGCUGAGGCGCGAAAGCUAGGGUAGCAAACGGG